UACGGAGGAUGCAAGCGUUUUCCGGAUUUAUUGGGUUUAAAGGGUGCGUAGGCGGGAUGCCAAGUCAGCGGUAAAAAUGCGGUGCUCAACGCCGUCGAGCCGUUGAAACUGGCGUUCUUGAGUGGGCGAGAAGUAUGCGGAAUGCGUGGUGUAGCGGUGAAAUGCAUAGAUAUCACGCAGAACUCCGAUUGCGAAGGCAGCAUACCGGCGCCCUACUGACGCUGAGGCACGAAAGCGUGGGUAUCGAACAGG
rnacentral:rRNA from 1 species